UAAUACAGGGGGUGCAAACGUUGCUCGGAAUUAUUGGGCGUAAAGCGCGCGUAGGCGGUCUCCUAAGUCGGAUGUGAAAUCCCUUGGCUUAACUGAGGAAGUGCAUCCGAAACUGAGAGGCUUGAGUACGAAAGAGGAUCGCGGAAUUCCCGGUGUAGAGGUGAAAUUCGUAGAUAUCGGGAGGAACACCGGCGGCGAAGGCGGCGAUCUGGGUCGAGACUGACGCUGAGGCGCGAAAGCGUGGGGAGCAAACAGGAUUAGAUACCCUGGUAGUCCACGCCGUAAACGAUGGGUGCUAGAUGUUGCUGGUAUUGACCCCGGCAGUGUCGUAGCUAACGCGUUAAGCACCCCGCCUGGGGAGUACGGCCGCAAGGCUA
rnacentral:rRNA from 1 species